CACGUGGAACCUUGACUGAACAUGCGGGGACCACCCCGUAAGGCUAAAUACUCCUUAGUGACCGAUAGCGCAUAGUACUGUGAAGGAAAGGUGAAAAGGACCCCGGGAGGGGAGUGAAAGAGAACCUGAAACCCUGUGUUUACAAGCUGUGGAACACCUCUAUAAGGUGAACCGCGUACUUUUUGUAGAACGGUCCGGCGAGUUGCGCAUGCAGGCAAGGUUAAGCACUAAAGGUGCGGAGCCGUAGGGAAACCAAGUCUUAAUAGGGCCACAGUCAGUCGGAGCAGACCCGAAACCGGGUGAUCUACCCAUGUCCAGGUUGAAGUUGCCGUAAAAGGCAAUGGAGGACCGAACCCACAUCCGUUGAAAAGGGUGGGGAUGAGGUGUGGGUAGGGGAGAAAUUCCAAUCGAACCCGGAGAUAGCUGGUUCUCCUCGAAAUAGCUUUAGGGCUAGCCUCGGACGUUUACCUGCGGGGGUAGAGCACUGAAUGGACGCGGGGGCCUCACCGCCUACCAACUCCAAUCAAACUCCGAAUACCGCCGGUCCAGAGUCCGGGAGUCAGAACAUGUGGGCUAAGCUGUGUGUUCGAAAGGGAAACAGCCCAGACCGCCAGCUAAGGUCCCUAAGUCAUGGCUAAGUGGGAAAGGAUGUGAGGAUCCCAAAACAACCAGG
rnacentral:rRNA from 16 species